rnacentral:rRNA from 1 species
GACGGAGGAUGCAAGCGUUAUCCGGAAUGAUUGGGCGUAAAGCGUCCGCAGGUGGCAGUUCAAGUCUUCUGUCAAAGACCGGGGCUUAACUUCGGAAAGGCAGUGGAAACUGAACAGCUAGAGUAUGGUAGGGGCAGAGGGAAUUCCUGGUGUAGCGGUGAAAUGCGUAGAUAUCUGGAGGAACACCAGAGGCGAAGGCGGCGAACUGGACAGUAACUGACACUCAACUGCGAAAGCGUGGGGAGCAAACAGG